rnacentral:rRNA from 1 species
GAGUAUCAAUUGGAGGGCAAGUCUGGUGCCAGCAGCCGCGGUAAUUCCAGCUCCAAUAGCGUAUAUUAAAAUUGUUGCAGUUAAAAAGCUCGUAGUUGAAUUUCUGCUGCAUUGCUUUUGCUCCUUUACGAGUCUUUGCAUUGUGGCUUAUUUCGGACUUUGUUUUACAAUGUCCGGAUGUUUACUUUGAGAAAAUUAGAGUGCUCAAAGCAGGCUUUCGCCUUGAAUAGUUUAGCAUGGAAUAAUAAAGUAGGACUUUGGUUCUAUUUUGUUGGUUUUAGGUACCAAAGUAAUGGUUAAUAGGAACAGUUGGGGGCAUUCGUAUUUAACUGUCAGAGGUGAAAUUCUUAGAUUUGUUAAAGACGAACUACUGCGAAAGCAUUUGCCAAGGAUGUUUUCAUUAAUCAAGAACGAAAG